CAUAAUAGUCGAGGUGUUAACGAAUAACAGAUCUUUUGCAGCUGUUAGAGAGGUAGUGAUGGAUUGUGGGGGGAAAUGGCAGAUCCUGGAUCCAUCAAUUUCAAGUUUAGGUCUAUGGCUAUGGUGGAGUUGGCAUAAUAUACUUGCUGUUGCUUUGGAUGCUGGUGCUGAUGAUGUCAUUGAACCCUCAGUGGAUGAAGAUGAUCGAAUGAACGGUACAAGAUAUUGUUCCUUUGAAUAUGUUUCAAAAUCGUAAGUUCAUCAGAGAACUACCCAAUCAUAUUAGCAAAGCUACGUGAGGAAGGAAUAACAUUUGAACCUGACAAAGGAUUUGAGCUUCUUCCUCUUACUCUGAUCGAGGUUGAUGAUGAGGCCAUGGACUUGAACAAGGAAUUGAAGUCCAAAUUACUCGAGCUCGAUGAUGUUGAUGCUUUAUAGACGGAUCAAAAGUAAUAUUACCUCGAGUGGAUUUGCAGAUCAAUGCUUAUUUUUGCCUUCCCAGCUGCUCAGCAUCCAACUGAGGUUUUGGGACAGUCAGAUUUUGUAUCUGGGGCUUUGCUUUCUGAGCUAAGCCUUAACACUUGACAGGAGAAUCUGAAUUGCAUCUCAUCAAAACUUGCGCAACUUCAGGUUUGGGAGUAGGCUUAACCGGUAAAACACUGAUAACUUCUUCAUUAAUAAGAUGAUCGGAAUUUACUUACAAUGUAGUUUUGUUUGUUGCAUACACGAUAAGAUGCAAUGCAUAUUACUAAAACAACAUAUCAUGCUGAUGACCGCUACACAAACAUUUUUAUUGUACAAAUAUCAUCUAUAUCAACUGUAUAUUGAAAUAUUUUUGAUGGAUAACUGUAUAUUGAAAU